GAUGAACGCUGGCGGCGUGCCUAAUACAUGCAAGUCGAGCGAACGGACGAGAAGCUUGCUUCUCUGAUGUUAGCGGCGGACGGGUGAGUAACACGUGGAUAACCUACCUAUAAGACUGGGAUAAUUUCGGGAAACCGUAGCUAAUACCGGAUAAUAUUUUGAACCGCAUGGUUCAAAAGUGAAAGGCGGUCUUGCUGUCACUUAUAGAUGGAUCCGCGCUGCAUUAGCUAGUUGGUAAGGUAACGGCUUACCAAGGCAACGAUGCAUAGCCGACCUGAGAGGUGGAUCGGCCACACUGGAACUGAGACACGGUCCAGACUCCUACGGGAGGCAGCAGUAGGGAAUCUUCCGCAAUGGGCGAAAGCCUGACGGAGCAACGCCGCGUGAGGGAUGAAGGUCUUCGGAUCGUAAAACUCUGUUAUUAGGGAAGAACAUAUGUGUAAGUAACUGUGCACAUCUUGACGGUACCUAAUCAGAAAGCCACGGCUAACUACGUG
rnacentral:rRNA from 1 species